CGGACGGGUGAGUAACGCGUGGAAAACCUGCCGUAUACUGGGGGAUAACACUUAGAAAUAGGUGCUAAUACCGCAUAAGCGCACAGCUUCGCAUGAAGCGGUGUGAAAAACUCUGGUGGUAUACGAUGGUUCCGCGUCUGAUUAGCUAGUUGGUGGGGUAAUGGCCUACCAAGCAACGAUCAGUAGCCGGCCUGAGAGGGUGAACGGCCACAUUGGGACUGAGACACGGCCCAAACUCCUACGGGAGGCAGCAG
rnacentral:rRNA from 1 species